GGUUCCAUAGUGCAGUGGUUAGCCCAUCUGCUUUACACACAAAAGGCCCUGAGUUCAUGCCCCAAUGGAGCCA
rnacentral:tRNA from 1 species